GAGUUUGAUCGUGGCUCAGAUUGAACGCUGGCGGCAGGCCUAACACAUGCAAGUCGAGCGGUAGAGAGAAGCUUGCUUCUCUUGAGAGCGGCGGACGGGUGAGUAAUGCCUAGGAAUCUGCCUGGUAGUGGGGGAUAACGCUCGGAAACGGACGCUAAUACCGCAUACGUCCUACGGGAGAAAGCAGGGGACCUUCGGGCCUUGCGCUAUCAGAUGAGCCUAGGUCGGAUUAGCUAGUUGGUGAGGUAAUGGCUCACCAAGGCGACGAUCCGUAACUGGUCUGAGGGGAUGAUCAGUCACACUGGAACUGAGACACGGUCCAGACUCCUACGGGAGGCAGCAGUGGGAAUAUUGGACAAUGGGCGAAAGCCUGAUCCAGCCAUGCCGCGUGUGUGAAGAAGGUCUUCGGAUUGUAAAGCACUUUAAGUUGGGAGGAAGGGCAGUAAAUUAAUACUUUGCUGUUUUGACGUUACCGACAGAAUAAGCACCGGCUAACUCUGUGCCAGCAG
rnacentral:rRNA from 1 species